rnacentral:rRNA from 1 species
CGUGAGUGAUGAAGGCUUUCGGGUCGUAAAGCUCUGUCAAGUGGGAAGAACCUGCAAUAUGCUAAUAUCAUAUUGCAUUGACGGUACCACUGAAGGAAGCACCGGCUAACUCCGUGCCAGCAGCCGCGGUAAUACGGGGGGUGCAAGCGUUAUUCGGAAUCAUUGGGCGUAAAGAGCACGUAGGCGGCUUGGUAAGUCAGAUGUGAAAGCCCGGGGCUUAACCCCGGAAGUGCAUUUGAUACUGCCAAGCUUGAGUAUGGGAGAGGGAAGUGGAAUUCCUGGUGUAGAGGUGAAAUUCGUAGAUAUCAGGAGGAACACCGGUGGCGAAGGCGACUUCCUGGACCAAUACUGACGCUGAGGUGCGAAGGCGUGGGUAGCAAACAGGAUUAGAUACCCUGGUAGUCCACGCAGUAAACGUUGUUCACUAGGUGUAGCGGGUAUUGACCCCUGCUGUGCCGCAGUUAACGCAUUAA